rnacentral:rRNA from 1 species
UGAGUAAUGCUUAGGAAUCUGCCUAUUAGUGGGGGACAACAUUCCGAAAGGAAUGCUAAUACCGCAUACGCCCUACGGGGGAAAGCAGGGGAUCUUCGGACCUUGCGCUAAUAGAUGAGCCUAAGUCAGAUUAGCUAGUUGGUGGGGUAAAGGCCUACCAAGGCGACGAUCUGUAGCGGGUCUGAGAGGAUGAUCCGCCACACUGGGACUGAGACACGGCCCAGACUCCUACGGGAGGCAGCAGUGGGGAAUAUUGGACAAUGGGCGCAAGCCUGAUCCAGCCAUGCCGCGUGUGUGAAGAAGGCCUUUUGGUUGUAAAGCACUUUAAGCGAGGAGGAGGCUACUUGGAUUAAUACUCUAAGAUAGUGGACGUUACUCGCAGAAUAAGCACCGGCUAACUCUGUGCCAGCAGCCGCGGUAAUACAGAGGGUGCGAGCGUUAAUCGGAUUUACUGGGCGUAAAGCGUGCGUAGGCGGCUUCUUAAGUCGGAUGUGAAAUCCCUGAG